AGUGAACGCUGGCGGCGUGCCUAAUACAUGCAAGUCGAACGCGAAAGUCCUUCGGGAUGAGUAAAGUGGCGCACGGGUGAGUAAUGGUUGAGAACAUGCCCUGAAGUGGGGAAUAACAGUUGGAAACGACUGCUAAUACCGCAUGGUAACGCAAGUUUAAAGGUGGGGACCCUAAGAGGCCUACCGCUUCAGGAUUGGCUCAACUCCCAUUAGCUAGUUGGCAGGGUAAUGGCCUACCAAGGCAACGAUGGGUAUGUGGUCUUAGAGGAUGAUCACACACACUGGAACUGAGACACGGUCCAGACUCCUACGGGAGGCAGCAGUGGGGAAUCUUAGACAAUGGGGGAAACCCUGAUCUAGCCAUGCCGCGUGAUCGAUGAAGGCCUUAGGGUUGUAAAGAUCUUUCAGUGGGGAAGAUAAUGACUGUACCCACAGAAGAAGCCCCGGCUAACUCCGUGCCAGCCGCCGCGGUAA
rnacentral:rRNA from 1 species